UUUGUCUGUCACAUAUUGGGUGUGACACAAAAUAUAGAUGGGUCAUUGCAAAUUAUUACAUUUCAUUAUUUUAAAACUUUAGCACCUUAUUUAUGACUUUUUCUCGUUUGCAUAGUAAAAAUCUAAUUCGGUUUGUCAUGAUAUAUGGAACUGGGAUGUAGCGGGUGUGACAUUAAAAAAUGACGAACUUUAUAUGAGUUUUUCUAUUCUUUUGCACAUUUGAGAAUUCUCAAAUAAAUAAAAAGCACUUAAUUGAGUCAAGAGUAUAGUAAAACAUGAAAUUUGUGUCACACCCAAAACUCCAUGGAGUUGUAAGUCAUUUUUGACUUGCGUUUAUACAUAUUUUAGACAUGAUCUUAAGGUUUAACUAAGUUUUCUGUUAAAACUAAUUUUAAUAUUGUUUGAACUCAAAACUAUUUUGUAACGAAAAGUUAAAAAAAUAAUGUAAUAUCAUUUAUUUUAAUAACAACUAAGUUAAGGUAUCAAGAGGUGAUACAAAAUUUGCAGGAAUAGUAUAGAAACAGAACAGAAUAUGAACUUAUACUGUACCUUGAAGUACACCUAAAUUAAAUAUCUUUCGUGUCAAUUAGACAAUGACUCAUUUUUAAUUUAAUCUUGUUGUUCGCUGUGUCACAAAACAAACAGACGCUUUGUCACAUCAACAAACAUCUUUGUUAUAAAAGGGCUCUUUCUUAUUGCAAUGGCUGAAAUGUUUUGUAAACCACUCAACUGCUGUUGACAUCCCUUUCUAUAACUUUAAAGUAGCCCGACAAAAAUAUGUUUUAGUUAAAAAAAAAACCGUUUCAGGUGCUACACUAAUAUAAUUAUUGACAGCAGUAGCAGUAUUAUAGUGCUAAAGGCAUAGAAACAAAAAACUAAUUAAAAUCAUCAAUGUUAGUAUGAGAUUCUGAAUUGAUGGUAUUCGAACCUCACGUUGGGCGCCAUUUGGUUAAUAAAAUUAAAUGCAAUUGUCUCUUUUUGGGUACAUAUUUAUUUUGUUAACUGCUAUCACAAAAUCAAAAAAAUUUGUCUCCCAUUCCAAAACUUGCCCAAUCCAUAGAUAUAGGAAAGAAUUCUCGACAUAAAUGCACACAAAACCACUCAAUUAAGUUCCGCUAAAUUAUUUCAUUUGAAACAAAAAAAAACUAUUGCUUGUCAUUUCAAUAAAAAUGUCACAUUCUUUCAAAAUAAGUCGUCAAAACAGCACUUCUACGCGAUUGUCACGUUCAUCGAUGCAAUCGAAAUCAGUGCUUUGUCAAAAAAAAUUUGAUGGCACUCGAUAUCUUCGAAAAAAAAAAAAAACUUUAGCGACAGGUGGUCUCUUCUGAAUAUUACUCAUCGAGAUCGAUUGCCAUACAAAACUGCAUGGAAUUUAUAAUUGAUUUGGUUUUUUUUGGGACUUUUUUUUCAUACAAAAAAAGUCAAACAUCAAUCAAUGAUCUCACCAUCAAUUCAAGCCUAAAAAGACGCUUGUAAUGCUGGACUCAAAAAAUUUAUAAAAUAAAAAUAUUAAAAAAAAUUCCAAAUGAUUCAUAAGGCGUGUGCAUACGCAAAUUGCA